ensembl:misc_RNA 7SK 7SK RNA
GGAUGUGAGAGCGAUCCGGCUGCGACAUCUGUCACCCCAUUGAUCGCCAGGGUUGAUUCGGCUGAUCUGGCUGGCUAGGCGGGUGUCCCCUUCCUCCCUCACCGCUGCAUGUGCGUCCCUCCCGAAGCUGCACGCUGGGUCGAAGAGGAUGACCAUCCCCAAUAGAGGAGGACUGUUCUUAGGUCAAGGGUAUACGAGUAGCUGUGCUCCCCUGCUAGAACCUCCAAACAAGCUCUCAAGGUUCAUUUGUAGGAGAACGUAGGGUAGGCAAGCUUCCAAGAUGCCAGACAGAUCCAAAUGAGGCACUGCAUGUGGCAGUCUGCCUUUCUUU